rnacentral:lncRNA from 7 species
AGUGACCUUGGAGAACCCUUGGAGAACCCCCAGCCAGCAGUGCCAGACCUUGGAUCAGGCCCAUGAGAAUGCAAUGCUGUGGAAAAUGAAUCACCUCCAUUUCUCCAGCAAGGUGGUUCAGCACAAGGCAGCAAGCUGAUGCUGGCACAUUCUGUGAUCAUUCCUCAUGAGGAGAGUUCCCUGCUUACUGGUUUUAUUUUUGCAAGCCACUGCGAUGUUGCCAGAAGGAGCAUAGGAUGAGAAGAUGUGGUGCUGGCGGCAAGAUAACAUAUAGCAAAGAGUUUCCAGGCUUCAGUCAACUGAGGACAGCCCAAAAAAUUAUGCUGUAUAUCAGUGGGGACAGAUCUGCUCUCCCGCUCUCAGGUAAAGAAAGUCUCAAGGAGAUGGCACGGUGACAGAGCCUGGGAUCACCAUGAAAGGCACCGCUGCCUGGCAGCACCAAGUCAUACUGCUUCGCUCUUGCUUCCUCUGUAGCAAUUUUCAUCUGCAGCAAAAGAGCUGGAAAGAUGAGGGGAAGAAAAAAAAAAAGAGUACUAAAAUCAGGAAGCUCUCACAUCAGACAAGCUUUGUUUGUUCUUUCUCAUUUGCAUUCUUUCCCCCUGUGGUUCAACACUGAAAUUUAGCUGACUGUUCCCUUAGAGAUGAGGCUCCAAAAGGCUUCUCACCUGCCAGCGUCACCUUUGAGUCCCAGUCUGUACGUCUACUUAUCUGAUAUGUUUUUAAAACAUUUUUGAAGGGAUCAGCAGCCGCUCAAGCCACACCUCUUACACACACUGUAUUCUUGUCCAUUCACACUUCAACUUCAUCCCUGGGGAGAAGAAAUAUUUGUUAGCUCAAGAAAUACACAUACACGUAUAUGUAUGCAAGCAGUCAAGGGCUAAACGAAGCCUGAUCAUGGGGGAACUGGAGGGACGUAGACACACUGCUGCCUGCCCUAAAGCCUUCCUUACUUCCUUUUUUCUAUUUUUAUUCAUAAUUGUUUGUUAUUGUUUUCUAUUUGCACUGUGGCAAUAUUUAGAACUCAAAAGGAUAGGGGCAACAGCUGAGUAAGACCCUUGCAGUCAAACAACUGAAAAUAUCCCGAGGGAAUCUCCCAACCCCUUCAGCUCAACAGGUUCUGUGGAAAAGCUUUCAUUUUAGACAAAAAAAGCCCACUUUUUUUGGCACAGCAAAAGCAGGAUUUUCCAGAAACAAAUGUACUGAUGACAAAACCAGUUUGUUUUCCAGAAUAUAUUAUAUAUGUUAUCAUGUGUUAUUAAAGUGUAGGAUCAAAUAAAACAAAAAAAAAGGUUGAAAUUCCUCCACAGUGUUUCAGUUUUAGCAAAAAGAAGAGCACCAUGUUGAACAACACUCAACUAUGUACAAAAAUCCCUUUUGGGGGGGAUUUUGAAUAUUUGGCAUUUCACUGAAAAUCAGAAUAGAGUUAUGAAAGUUCAGGCUUUGGCUGUAAGGAUGUAUAAUUUCUUCAUUUCAGGAAGUGAAAUAUACUGUGUGUUCCUGAGUGUCAUUUAUGGGUCAGGAAAAGAACCUGCAAAGCUGUAAAGGAGCCAGCUACUAACCAAUGUGCUAUAUUGUGUCAUGUUUGCUGAAUGAAUAUUUUGCUCUGAUGCAUAUGUCUGAUUUGAAGAGUUCUUGGCUCUAGAGAUUUCAUAAUUACUUGGAUAUGAAGAUCCAGACUGACAUUGCUGUGGCUCAGCCACAUUCAGGCAGAGCUUGUCACUAGCCACGGAGAAUACAGGCUGUAGAAAAAAUGCCAUUAUUCAGUAGAUAAGGACGAUGGCUCACAAUUAUUAUACUUCCUCUCAGUGUUUUAAUUUUCAUGCUGUGUUUUUGUGACAUUGAGAGUAACAGGCAGAGCAAACAAAGCCUAAGCAACAGCUCCUUGCCACUGCUCCUUAAUAAAAGGAAAUGUAUCACUCUCUACCGCCUGACCUUUGCAACGAGAUGUAAUGAAGUGACAAAAAGAGAACAGGUGACGCAGCUACCAAGUUUACACUUGAAAGAGUUUAUCGCAAUGCUCAAUUGAUACCUGAAACUUCCUCCUAAACAUGUUUCUGAGGUCAGUGAAGGAUGUUCUUGUGACUUUCAGUAGGUUCUGGUGAGGCUCUCCGAGUGCCCGCUUCAUCUAACAUUGAACGAACACAGAGAGCUGAUGAAUGCAAUAAGUACGUGAAAAGAGAGUGUGGCACCUGAAGAGAGUUUGAAAUAGAAAAGACCAAAG